rnacentral:misc_RNA from 1 species
AAGUCGUAACAAGGUUUCCGUAGGUGAACCUGCGGAAGGAUCAUUAUUGAAUCUAAGCAAGCCUGGCUUGCGCGUAUUUAAAACCCCACACUUUUGAAAAUAAAACGUAUCUUACUUAAAAAUAAGUAAAUUAAAGAUCACUUUCAACAACGGAUCUCUUGGCUCUC